rnacentral:rRNA from 1 species
GUGCCUAACACAUGCAAGUCGAACGAGAAAGUGGAGCAAUCCAUGAGUAAAGUGGCGACCGGGUGAGUAACACGUGACUAACCUACCUUCGAGUGGGGGAUAACCUAGGGAAACCUGGGCUAAUACCGCAUAAUGCCUUCGGGUUAAAGGAGCAAUUCGCUUGAAGAGGGGGUCGCGGCCGAUUAGGUAGUUGGCGGGGUAACGGCCCACCAAGCCCGUGAUCGGUAGCCGGCCUGAGAGGGCGCACGGCCACACUGGAACUGAAACACGGUCCAG